rnacentral:rRNA from 1 species
AUUGAACGCUGGCGGCAGGCCUAACACAUGCAAGUCGAACGAGUGGCGGACGGGUGAGUAAUGUCUGGGAAAAUGCCUGAUGGAGGGGGAUAUCUACUGGAAACGGUAGCUAAUACCGCAUACCAUCAGAUGCGCCCAGAUGGGAUUAGCUAGUUGGUGGGGUAACGGAUCACCAAGGCGACGAUCCCUAGCUGGUCUGAGCGGAUGACCGGCAACACUGGAACUGAGACACGUUCCAGACUCCUACGGGAGGCAGCAGUGUGGAAUAUUGCACAAUGGGCGCAAGCCUGAUGCAGCCAUGCCGCGUGUAUGAAGAAUGCCUUCGGGUUGUAAAGUACUUUCAGCGGGGAGGCGUUACCCGCAGAAGAAGCACCGGCUAACUCCGUGCCAGCCGCCGCGGUAAUUC